ensembl:snRNA U6 U6 spliceosomal RNA
GAGCUCGCUUCAGCAGCACAUAUACUAAAACGGGAACAACACAGAGAAGAUUAGCAUGGUCCCUGCACAAGGACAACAAGCACAUUCAUGAAGAGUUCCAUAUUCAU